rnacentral:rRNA from 1 species
GACGAACGCUGGCGGCGUGCUUAACACAUGCAAGUCGAGCGGAAAGGCCCUUUCGGGGGUACUCGAGCGGCGAACGGUGAGUAACACGUGAGUAAUCUGCCCUUCACUUGGGGAUAACUACCGGAAACGGUGGCUAAUACCCGAUACGACAACUCCACGCAUGUGGUGGUUGUGGAAAGUUUUUUCGGUGGAGGAUGUGCUCGCGGCCUAUCAGCUUGUUGGUGGGGUAAUGGCCUACCAAGGCUUCGACGGGUAGCCGGCCUGAGAGGGUGACCGGCCACACUGGGACUGAGACACGGCCCAGACUCCUACGGGAGGCAGCAGUGGGGAAUAUUGGACAAUGGGCGAAAGCCUGAUCCAGCAACGCCGCGUGAGGGAUGACGGCCUUCGGGUUGUAAACCUCUUUCAGCGGGGACGAAGCGCCGGUAAUGGUGGUGACGGUACCCGCAGAAGAAGCACCGGCCAACUACGUGCCAGCAGCCGCAGUAAAAC